AGAGUUUGAUCCUGGCUCAGGACGAACGCUGGCGGCGUGCUUAACACAUGCAAGUCGAACGGAAAGGCCCUUUCGGGGGUACUCGAGUGGCGAACGGGUGAGUAACACGUGGGUGAUCUGCCCUGCACUUUGGGAUAAGCCUGGGAAACUGGGUCUAAUACCGAAUACACCCUGCUGGUCGCAUGGCCUGGUAGGGGAAAGCUUUUGCGGUGUGGGAUGGGCCCGCGGCCUAUCAGCUUGUUGGUGGGGUGAUGGCCUACCAAGGCGACGACGGGUAGCCGGCCUGAGAGGGUGACCGGCCACACUGGGACUGAGAUACGGCCCAGACUCCUACGGGAGGCAGCAGUGGGGAAUAUUGCACAAUGGGCGCAAGCCUGAUGCAGCGACGCCGCGUGAGGGAUGACGGCCUUCGGGUUGUAAACCUCUUUCAGCACAGACGAAGCGCAAGUGACGGUAUGUGCAGAAGAAGGACCGGCCAACUACGUGCCAGCAGCCGCGGUAAUACGUAGGGUCCGAGCGUUGUCCGGAAUUACUGGGCGUAAAGAGCUCGUAGGUGGUUUGUCGCGUUGUUCGUGAAAACUCACAGCUUAACUGUGGGCGUGCGGGCGAUACGGGCAGACUAGAGUACUGCAGGGGAGACUGGAAUUCCUGGUGUAGCGGUGGAAUGCGCAGAUAUCAGGAGGAACACCGGUGGCGAAGGCGGGUCUCUGGGCAGUAACUGACGCUGAGGAGCGAAAGCGUGGGGAGCGAACAGGAUUAGAUACCCUGGUAGUCCACGCCGUAAACGGUGGGUACUAGGUGUGGGUUUCCUUCCUUGGGAUCCGUGCCGUAGCUAACGCAUUAAGUACCCCGCCUGGGGAGUACGGCCGCAAGGCUAAAACUCAAAGGAAUUGACGGGGCCCGCACAAGCGGCGGAGCAUGUGGAUUAAUUCGAUGCAACGCGAAGAACCUUACCUGGGUUUGACAUGCACAGGACGCCGGCAGAGAUGUCGGUUCCCUUGUGGCCUGUGUGCAGGUGGUGCAUGGCUGUCGUCAGCUCGUGUCGUGAGAUGUUGGGUUAAGUCCCGCAACGAGCGCAACCCUUGUCUCAUGUUGCCAGCACGUUAUGGUGGGGACUCGUGAGAGACUGCCGGGGUCAACUCGGAGGAAGGUGGGGAUGACGUCAAGUCAUCAUGCCCCUUAUGUCCAGGGCUUCACACAUGCUACAAUGGCCGGUACAAAGGGCUGCGAUGCCGUGAGGUGGAGCGAAUCCUUUCAAAGCCGGUCUCAGUUCGGAUCGGGGUCUGCAACUCGACCCCGUGAAGUCGGAGUCGCUAGUAAUCGCAGAUCAGCAACGCUGCGGUGAAUACGUUCCCGGGCCUUGUACACACCGCCCGUCACGUCAUGAAAGUCGGUAACACCCGAAGCCGGUGGCCUAACCCUUGUGGAGGGAGCCGUCGAAGGUGGGAUCGGCGAUUGGGACGAAGUCGUAACAAGGUAGCCGUACCGGAAGGUGCGGCUGGAUCACCU
rnacentral:rRNA from 1 species